rnacentral:lncRNA from 1 species
CGCCACCCCGAGUCCCGAUGGAGACCCCGAGUCCCGAUGGAGACCCCGGGAGAUGCGCCCUCGGGGCUCCUCUGCCCAUGGGGUCACUGCAGAGCGUGUGCCUGGAGCUGAGUCUGCGCUCGUGUCCACCUGUGGUUUCUGGCGGUUUGGUGGCGCUGGGGCACCUCUGGGUGAUGAUUGAAGAUCUCACAUCUUUCCUCGCUGCAUCUUGCACGGGCCGGAGUAGAGCAAAUUACCUUGGCGAAAUAUGUCCUUCCCAACCGUUAACACUUUGGGAAAGAGAGUAAAGCGACAGAUCGGAGCAGAAUAUUUUGAAGAUCGUCCAGAAAUAGUGUGCUACUGGCUAACCUGUUAUGUAGAUCCAGGAGUGUCCGGGUGUUGGCACCGUCUUCCUUCAAUAGCAAAUGAUUUCGGGUGAGGACUCCCCCUGAUGAAGGCCCCGGAGCUGCCCUGGGACAGUGAUGCCAGGAGAGGAGAGCAAGGCGGUGGGAGGGCUGGCAUUGGAAGAAUCGGGGCUUGUCUAUGGGAAUGGGGGGGAUGCGUCAAUCCUACUGCUGGUUACUUUGAAAAUAAAGUGGC